UAUGAAAUUUCACACAAAACUUUUUGAGGUUCUGAUUAUCGAAUUGCUGACCAUUGUCAGUGAUGAUGGUGUGUGAUAGACUGAAUCUGUAUAUGAUUGAUUUCUGAAUGAAGUCUUUCAUCUUACUCUCAGUGAUUUGUGCUAGAGGUUCAACUUCCACUUAUUUGGUGAAGUAAUCGAUGGUGACCACCAUAAACUUUCACUGACC
rnacentral:lncRNA from 1 species